rnacentral:tRNA from 1 species
GGGGUCUUAGCUCAGCUGGGAGAGCGCAUGGCUGGCAGCCAUGAGGUCAGGGGUUCGAGCCCCCUAGGCUCC